rnacentral:rRNA from 1 species
UAGCGGCGGACGGGUGAGUAACACGUGGAUAACCUACCUAUAAGACUGGGAUAACUUCGGGAAACCGGAGCUAAUACCGGAUAAUAUUUUGAACCGCAUGGUUCAAAAGUGAAAGACGGUCUUGCUGUCACUUAUAGAUGGAUCCGCGCUGCAUUAGCUAGUUGGUAAGGUAACGGCUUACCAAGGCAACGAUGCAUAGCCGACCUGAGAGGGUGAUCGGCCACACUGGAACUGAGACACGGUCCAGACUCCUACGGGAGGCAGCAGUAGGGAAUCUUCCGCAAUGGGCGAAAGCCUGACGGAGCAACGCCGCGUGAGUGAUGAAGGUCUUCGGAUCGUAAAACUCUGUUAUUAGGGAAGAACAUAUGUGUAAGUAACUGUGCACAUCUUGACGGUACCUAAUCAGAAAGCCACGGCUAACUACGUGCCAGCAGCCGCGGUAAUACGUAGGUGGCAAGCGUUAUCCGGAAUUAUUGGGCGUAAAGCGCGCGUAGGCGGUUUUUUAAGUCUGAUGUGAAAGCCCACGGCUCAACCGUGGAGGGUCAUUGGAAACUGGAAAACUUGAGUGCAGAAGAGGAAAGUGGAAUUCCAUGUGUAGCGGUGAAAUGCGCAGAGAUAUGGAGGAACACCAGUGGCGAAGGCGACUUUCUGGUCUGUAACUGACGCUGAUGUGCGAAAGCGUGGGGAUCAAACAGGAUUAGAUACCCUGGUAGUCCACGCCGUAAACGAUGAGUGCUAAGUGUUAGGGGGUUUCCGCCCCUUAGUGCUGCAGCUAACGCAUUAAGCACUCCGCCUGGGGAGUACGACC